rnacentral:rRNA from 1 species
CCUACGGGGCGCAGCAGUGGGGAAUAUUGGACAAUGGGCGAAAGCCUGAUCCAGCCAUGCCGCGUGUGUGAAGAAGGCCUUCGGGUUGUAAAGCACUUUCAGUGGGGAAGAAAGCCUUGGGGCUAAUACCCUCGAGGAAGGACAUCACCCACAGAAGAAGCACCGGCUAACUCCGUGCCAGCAGCCGCGGUAAUACGGAGGGUGCGAGCGUUAAUCGGAAUUACUGGGCGUAAAGCGCGCGUAGGCGGUCUGAUAAGCCGGUUGUGAAAGCCCCGGGCUCAACCUGGGAACGGCAUCCGGAACUGUCAGGCUAGAGUGCAGGAGAGGAAGGUAGAAUUCCCGGUGUAGCGGUGAAAUGCGUAGAGAUCGGGAGGAAUACCAGUGGCGAAGGCGGCCUUCUGGACUGACACUGACGCUGAGGUGCGAAAGCGUGGGUAGCAAACAGGAUUAGAUACCCGAGUAGUC